rnacentral:rRNA from 1 species
AUUGAACGCUGGCGGCAGGCCUAACACAUGCAAGUCGAACGAGUGGCGGACGGGUGAGUAAUGUCUGGGAAACUGCCUGAUGGAGGGGGCUAACUACUGGAAACGGUAGCUAAUACCGCAUACCAUCAGAUGUGCCCAGAGUGGAUUAGCUUGUCGGUGGGGUAACGGCUUACCAAGGCGACGAUCCCUAGCUGGUCUGAGAGGAUGACCAGCCACACUGGAACUGAGACACGGUCCAGACUCCUACGGGAGGCAGCAGUGGGGAAUCUUGCACAAUGGGCGCAAGCCUGAUGCAGCAAUGCCGCGUGUGUGAAGAAGGCCUUCGGGUUGUAAAGUACUUUCAUCGGGGAGGCGUUACCCGCAGAAGAAGCACCGGCUAACUCCGUGCCAGCAGCCGCGGUAAUUC